rnacentral:lncRNA from 1 species
ACAACUGGAUAUGAAGUGAUCAGGAGAAGAGGAAUGUUCCAGACAUUGCAAAUAAGAAGAGUGAAGG